ACAGAAACAAGACGCUAAAUUGGUCAGAACUUAAUCUUGGACCUCCCAGUUUCCAGAACUUUGAGAAACACAAUUCUGUUAUUCAAGUUACACAUUCUCAGGUACUCAAGUUUAUGGUCUCCAAAGCUGCCAAGGGGUUCUGGGCCUGAAAGUCAGCAUCUGGGGGAUCUGCUCUGCACACAUUGUUUGGCAAGAGAGAAAAAGAGUUUGUUGAGAAAAAAGUCUGUAGCUACUAAUGGGACCUGAAGAGGACCUCAACCUAUUACUGUCAAGUGAAGAAGCUUGACUGCAAUAAAUGGCCAUUUCAUCAAGAGCCUUCUUUCCUCUCCCUGUCUGAAUUUGCAGCUCUCCUCACAGCAGAAGCAAAUGAGCUCCAGCCUUUUAAGAGAAAUAGAGAGAUGUCGUGCCAUACAGAACAGAAGAGACAGAUAUAAUUUCUGAUCUGUGGGAGCUCCCAUCCUGAAGAACAAGGAGGUCUAAUAUGUAUUAAAACUCGGGUUUAAGAAAACGGACCAUUAAAGAAAUCCACCUCUGAUAACUUGAAGAUAAAAGCUUAUAAACUAACUUACCAGUAAGAACAAACAGGAACAUCUUUGAAUUCUCAAAAUAAUGUACAGAAAAAAUUUAGACACGUAA